GCUGGGCAUGGUGGUGCAUGCCUGUAGUCCCAGCUACUUGGGAGGCUGAGGUGGGAGGAUCACUUGAACUCAGGAGUUUGAGGCUGCAGUGAGAUGUGAUUGUACCACUGCACUCCAGCCUGGGUGACAGAGCAAGAUCCUGUCUCAG
ensembl:misc_RNA Metazoa_SRP Metazoan signal recognition particle RNA